rnacentral:tRNA from 1 species
GACUGGAUAGCUUAGCGGUUAAGGCAUCACAUACAAGUUGUGUGUUCCACUUAAGGGUCCUUGGUUCAAAUGCGAGUCUAGUCA